rnacentral:rRNA from 1 species
UACGUAGGGUGCGAGCGUUGUCCGGAAUUAUUGGGCGUAAAGAGCUCGUAGGCGGCCUGUCGCGUCAAUUGUGAAAGCCCGGGGCUUAACCCCGGGUCUGCAGUCGAUACGGGCAGGCUAGAGUGUGGUAGGGGAGAUCGGAAUUCCUGGUGUAGCGGUGAAAUGCGCAGAUAUCAGGAGGAACACCGGUGGCGAAGGCGGAUCUCUGGGCCAUUACUGACGCUGAGGAGCGAAAGCGUGGGGAGCGAACAGG